AUUGAACGCUGGCGGCAUGCCUUACACAUGCAAGUCGAACGGUAACGGGCCUUCGGGUGCCGACGAGUGGCGCACGGGUGAGUAAUACAUCGGAACGUGCCCGAUCGUGGGGGAUAACGAGGCGAAAGCUUUGCUAAUACCGCAUACGAUCUACGGAUGAAAGCGGGGGACCGCAAGGCCUUGCGCGGACGGAGCGGCCGAUGGCAGAUUAGGUAGUUGGUGGGAUAAAAGCUUACCAAGCCGACGAUCUGUAGCUGGUCUGAGAGGAUGAUCAGCCACACUGGGACUGAGACACGGCCCAGACUCCUACGGGAGGCAGCAGUGGGGAAUUUUGGACAAUGGGCGCAAGCCUGAUCCAGCCAUGCCGCGUGCAGGAUGAAGGCCUUCGGGUUGUAAACUGCUUUUGUACGGAACGAAAAGCCUUCUUUUAAUACAGGAGGGUCAUGACGGUACCGUAAGAAUAAGCACCGGCUAACUACGUG
rnacentral:rRNA from 1 species